AGAGUUUGAUCCUGGCUCAGGAUGAACGCUAGCUACAGGCUUAACACAUGCAAGUCGAGGGGCAUCAGGAAGAAAGCUUGCUUUCUUUGCUGGCGACCGGCGCACGGGUGAGUAACACGUAUCCAACCUGCCCUUUACUCGGGGAUAGCCUUUCGAAAGAAAGAUUAAUACCCGAUAGUAUAAUGAUUCCGCAUGGUUUGAUUAUUAAAGGAUUCCGGUAAAGGAUGGGGAUGCGUUCCAUUAGGUUGUUGGUGAGGUAACGGCUCACCAAGCCUUCGAUGGAUAGGGGUUCUGAGAGGAAGGUCCCCCACAUUGGAACUGAGACACGGUCCAAACUCCUACGGGAGGCAGCAGUGAGGAAUAUUGGUCAAUGGGCGCUAGCCUGAACCAGCCAAGUAGCGUGAAGGAUGAAGGCUCUAUGGGUCGUAAACUUCUUUUAUAUAAGAAUAAAGUGCAGUAUGUAUACUGUUUUGUAUGUAUUAUAUGAAUAAGGAUCGGCUAACUCCGUGCCAGCAGCCGCGGUAAUACGGAGGAUCCGAGCGUUAUCCGGAUUUAUUGGGUUUAAAGGGAGCGUAGGUGGACUGGUAAGUCAGUUGUGAAAGUUUGCGGCUCAACCGUAAAAUUGCAGUUGAUACUGUCAGUCUUGAGUACAGUAGAGGUGGGCGGAAUUCGUGGUGUAGCGGUGAAAUGCUUAGAUAUCACGAAGAACUCCGAUUGCGAAGGCAGCUCACUGGACUGCAACUGACACUGAUGCUCGAAAGUGUGGGUAUCAAACAGGAUUAGAUACCCUGGUAGUCCACACAGUAAACGAUGAAUACUCGCUGUUUGCGAUAUACAGUAAGCGGCCAAGCGAAAGCAUUAAGUAUUCCACCUGGGGAGUACGCCGGCAACGGUGAAACUCAAAGGAAUUGACGGGGGCCCGCACAAGCGGAGGAACAUGUGGUUUAAUUCGAUGAUACGCGAGGAACCUUACCCGGGCUUAAAUUGCAGUGGAAUGAUGUGGAAACAUGUCAGUGAGCAAUCACCGCUGUGAAGGUGCUGCAUGGUUGUCGUCAGCUCGUGCCGUGAGGUGUCGGCUUAAGUGCCAUAACGAGCGCAACCCUUAUCUUUAGUUACUAACAGGUUAUGCUGAGGACUCUAGAGAGACUGCCGUCGUAAGAUGUGAGGAAGGUGGGGAUGACGUCAAAUCAGCACGGCCCUUACGUCCGGGGCUACACACGUGUUACAAUGGGGGGUACAGAAGGCAGCUAGCGGGUGACCGUAUGCUAAUCCCAAAAUCCUCUCUCAGUUCGGAUCGAAGUCUGCAACCCGACUUCGUGAAGCUGGAUUCGCUAGUAAUCGCGCAUCAGCCACGGCGCGGUGAAUACGUUCCCGGGCCUUGUACACACCGCCCGUCAAGCCAUGGGAGCCGGGGGUACCUGAAGUACGUAACCGCAAGGAUCGUCCUAGGGUAAAACUGGUGACUGGGGCUAAGUCGUAACAAGGUAGCCGUACCGGAAGGUGCGGCUG
rnacentral:rRNA from 1 species